GUAAAUUAUCCAUAUGUAGAUUAGAUACCAUGUAGAUACGAGUAUACAGCAUCUAUCCCAUGCAUACAUUUCUUUUUCCUGGGUGUAAACUAUUAUGAACAUUCCUCUUGACCUAUUUUCUUCUUUCCAAGUAAAUUUAAUCAUUGACUAGAGCAGAGACUAACAAGCUGCGGAAGAUUGACGAGAUUGCAGGGUUGGUGUUCCAACUUUAGAAGACAAGGUGGCGGCUGUGGCUGUAGCAACGGUGGAAGCAGUGGCGGUGGUUUUGGUGGGACCCUUGUCCAGGGAGGUGGUGGUGGUGACACGUUCACAACGUGGGCACAUAGUGAGGGUGGAUGCUGGGAGAGGCUCACAACUGUGAGGGGAUAUCACAGUUGGGGGGCCCACCUUCAUUGCCCUAAGCUCCUCUACUUCCCUUUGUAGCCUUCUGUUCUGCUCUGUUAGGGAACCAAACCACCUCUUCAAAUACUCGCAUUCCAUCUCUGUCUGCUUAAGCUUGCUCCUGGCCCUACGAUUUUGAAACCACACCUCAACUUGUCUUGGCCUAAGCCUCAACUGCAUAGCCAAUGCCUCUUUCUGCCUUGGGUUUAAGGUGUGGUGUUGCCUGAAACUUUCUUCAAGAAGACGAGACUGUUCCUUGGAAAGACGGAGCUUUUUGCGAGGAGUGGCUCCAUUAGUGCUUUCCUCUUCAUCAUCCAUACCAACAGUGAUCCAUUCUUCUUCUGCUGCUGAAGGUACUUGGUUUAUGUCCAAAUCUCUCACUGCAUAACCCCCUUCACCAGAUGAAGGAAGAGACGGGGAUGAAGAGAAGCCAGGCAUGGAUAUGGUCAACUCCAAGCUAGAAGAGCUUGUGGGUGAAACAGCCAUGAAGCAGGUAGCUAUUAGCUAGGCUC
rnacentral:misc_RNA from 1 species